GUUCGUUUUUCUGAGUAAUAUGGAAAUGGCACGGCUCAGCCACACAAGGGCCUGGGCAAAGGUCACGGCCAGCAAAGAACACAGCCUGGGUCCUCUGAGUCCCGAGUCCACGCGAUCCUGACCCGUCCACCACCCUCCUCGAGACACGACAAGUUAGGCGGGAACAUAACCUGGGAGCCCCAUGUCGGUUUCAGGCUCCACAAGGGAUCUCUGGGUAAAGGGUUUGUCUCUUCCACAUCUGUUCAUUUAGGAGAAGCAAAGAACAUGGAAAGCAGAAUUCCUGGGGGUGGCCUCAACCCCAAGCCCUGCCGAUGCAAACCGGCACCUUGAAGAUGCCUUUGGAAUUUAACUGGAAGAUUUGAAUGACAUGGGCAGACACAGAAGAGGGAGAAGCAUUCCACAGGGGAGGAAAGGCCUCAGUGGGGACCUAUGGAGCUCCCAGGCCCACCGCAGGGAGGCAGGUCCUCGGUCAUCUGCGGAGGUCAGUAUCUAUCAAAGCCCAGCCGCAGAUAGAUGAGCUGGGCCUGGCGGGGUCUUGUAGGAUGUGUAGGAGUUUGUGAGGCAGAGCAGGAAUGAAAGCAGAGGGGACAGGAGGGGCAGAACCAGAGUCAGGACAUUCAUUGGCUAAUUUCCUGUUCUUGGUCCCUCUCCCCCAUUAAGCCACAACCUCCCCCACACCAGAGCAGGCACCAGGUCCUCCUCGUCACAAGUGCCAGGCAUAAAGCAGGCACUCAAUAAACAUCCAGGAAGGAGACGGCAGGGGAGGAGGCGACAUGAUGACUCCAGGACCCAGAGUGGAGGGAGAACACUUUCAGUCGAAGGAGCCUGGGACCCUUGACACAGAAGUGACAUGUGCAUUCGGAACCUCUCUGUGGAAAACACAGACCCUUCAUGACACGCAAACUCGAAGCCGGUGAGGCCGAGUCUCAGGGCUGCGCCAACCAGGAAGCCUGGCUGUCCAAUGUUCCAAAUCUGGAUGUGAAAUGGACCAUGCAGACAGGACCCAAGGGGCAUGGGGGAGCUGGCAGAGGCACCCGGGACAAGUGGGGAAGCACCUGUCGGCCAGGAAGGUAGAGAGGCACCUACCCCAGAACACGGUGCCAGCGUCACACUCUUAUUAACAGAUGCAAUAACCACCUUCGGAGACCAGACCCCUCAAAGAGCACUCAGCCCACAAUGUGACGCAGAGAAACCAGAGACCCAGGCAGGGAGUGCACCCACGGGGACACUCCGAGGGUGGCCUCCUGCCUGCCCUGAUUACUUAAAAAGGAGAUUCUUGGAAACCUUUGCGGGCCCACAGGUGCACCCUGACUCCCAGGGAUGGGGGCUGAGCCACCCAGGAAACAAAUAUGAAAUCAAAGAUCCAGACAGCCCUGACCCUCCUGAUUCCAGGGUCCAUAAAUAAGUCAUUCUUAAAAUAGUGGUUGUUUUCUCUCUAUUUAAGAAGUGCUUCUUUUUUGAGUCCUUGUUCCCAACUUCCCUGGCAACUCAGUUUCCUGUUUCCUCCGGGAGGAAGGCAGAACUGCAGGAGAGCUCAGGACCCUGCUGCCUCCACCACUCUCUCCUGGAAAACUGUCCAGCAUCACAGCUGCGGCUCCAGCCUCCUCCGGGCCCAGGUGUGGAGGGCAAGUGCUGCCUCCACCACCCUUGCUAUGCGUCUCCACUUCACACAUGGGCAUCCGUGACCACACGUGUGCACCCGUGAAAAGCGUGCAUUUCCAGUGGUGUCUGCAUCAUUUGCAUAUCACUGACAGAAAGAUACCCUUUCACAAUUCUAUUCUCCCUCCUGACCCAUAUUUUCUGAAAUGCACCUGGGUGAAAACAUAAAUCUGGAAGCUUCUUUGCUCCUUUUACAGCUGCCUAGUAUUCUUUUUUUUCUUUUAAGAGAUGGGGUCUCAUUUUGUUGCCCAGGCUGGAGUAUAGGGGUGCGAUCACAGCUCACCGCAGCCUCCAACUCCUGGGUUUAAGGUGUCCUCUCACCUGAGCCUCCCAAGUAGCUGGGACUACAGGCACGUGCCACCACGCCUGCUUAUUUUUAUUUUUUAUUUUUUAAUUGAUGGGUCUCGCUAUGUUGCCCAGGCUGGUCUCCAACUCCUGACCUCAAGCAAUCCUCCUACCUUGGCCUCCCAAAGUGCUGGGAUUACAGGCAUGAGCCGCUGCACCCGCCCUGCCUGGCAUUCUCUAUAUGAAAACCCUCGCUCCUUCACCUGUUCCUGCCCAGAUGGACGUUUCCAGUGCUUCUGGUUCCUGCCAUCACACGCUGGGCCACGAUGGACAUGACAGAACUCCCCAUGAACAGGGGGCAGGUCAAUGUGGCUGCACCCCAGUGACUCGAGGCUCACGUUCCACUCACGUGCUUCUACCACAGCCUAAGCAAAGGCAGGGGUGGGCUGAAACCCUUCCUGGGAGGUUUCAGUCUCCAGAGGGGGCUGUUCAGUCCUUGGUAUCAAUGAAAGCCGACUUUCCACACACCCAGGUGCCUGGGCGUGGCCCCGCUCAGAGCAGCCCCUCCUGGAGUGCCUCUUAAAUGAGCCUCACUGGGUUGCUCCGUUGGCCACACAGGUGUCCCUCAUCUCCCCAGGGACGGAGGAACACAGUCCCCAACUCUCUGUGAUCAGCAGAGCCCAGAGAGCCCAGCCUCGUGUACCAAAAAGGUCUGGGAGCCCCAUUUUUCUUCAGAGGAAAUGUUAAUGCCCGAAUGUCACCAGCUCAUCGCCGACAAAGGCCUGAACACAAACGUCUCCAGGCAACAGCCCCGAGCAGUCACUCUGGAAGGUUACGUGAAGCUGCUGGCUCAGAUUUUAAAUCGUCUCACAUGUGGGUUGCCCCACCUACCCCAUCAACAAACACAGCUUCGCACUUCUGCAUCAGAGGCUGUGCUGGGUUCUGGGGACACGGAAGGCCCCCAGCUCUCAGGCCUGGUAAGAGAAAGAAAAACACGAAGACAUUCCAGCCGGCCCUUCCUGCGGGGGCCGAGGGCAGAGCCCCUGGUCUGUCUCUUGCUCCAUCCUCACCCGCCCCUAUGAGGUCAGCACUGCUGUUCCGUCCAGUUUCCAGAUAAGGAAACAAGACACAAAGUAACUUCACCCAAGGUCAAGAAGCCAGGAAGAGGUGAAGUCAGGCUGAAGCCCCUAUCAUGAACGCUCCUCCACGGUCUGGCUUCCCUAUAGGGGCAGAGCCCUCCUCCGAGCAGAGCAUGUGCCUCCCUCUCGUCCACCCCUCCCUCUCUCUGUCUCUCUCUCCAUCUGUGCCCUGGACUGGUCUCUAAGCUGGGGAUUGAGGGCCUGAGCGUCUGGGACGGCCACCCCCAGCUCUCUCUGGGCAGGCGUCCAGUAAGGAGCCCCUGCUAUUUGGGUCAGGGCUGGCCAGUGGUGCUGGGUCAGGACAGUUUCCAGGAAACGGCCUGUCCCGGGUUCCAGUCCUACCUGGCCUGUGGCUCAGAGAUCACAAACCUUUUGAAAGCCCCCGCCCACACCACUCCCGAUCCUGAUGCCUCCCCCUCCUGCAACACCUCAGUUCCUGUGCUUCUCACUCCACGGAUGGCUUCCGCCUCCCACAGCUGACUGAGCUCUCAGAUGGAGACCACAUGUUCCUUGCAGGCUCUAGUGCCCAGCCCGGGUCUGACGCAGAAGCUCCUCAGCACAAUAUGGAUGGUUGGAUGGGUGGGUGGAUGAACGGAUGAGUGAAUGGACACAUGGAUGUACAGGUGGGUGAGUAGACGAAUGAAUGGAUGGAUGGAUGGAUGGAUGGAUGGACAGGCGGGUGGAUUGAACAGGUGGGUGAGCGGAUGGAUGGAUGGACAAAUGGGUGAGUAGAUGAAUCGAUGGAUGGAUGGACAGGUGGGUGGAUGAACAGGUGGGUGAGUAGAUCAACGGAUGGAUGGAUGGAUGGACAGGUGGGUGGAUGAACAGGUGGGUGAGUAGAUCAACGGAUGGAUGGAUGGAUGGAUGGACAGAUGGAUGGACGGACAGGUGGGUGGAUGAAUAGGUGGGUGAGUAGAAUAACGGAUGGAUGGAUGGAUGGAUGGAUGGACGGACAGGUGGGUGGAUGAACAGGUGUGUGAGUAGAUUUGAGUAGAUUAAUGGAUGGAUGGAUGGAUGUAAGGAUGGAUGAUGGAUGGAUGGACAGGUGGGUGGAUGUACAGGUGGGUGAGUAGAUCAACGGAUGGAUGGAUGGAUAGAUGGACAGGUGGGUGGAUGAACAGGUGGGUGAGUAGAUCAACGGAUGGAUGGAUGGAUAGAUGGAUGGACGGACAGGUGGGUGGAUGAACAGGUGUGUGAGUAGAUUUGAGUAGAUUAAUGGAUGGAUGGAUGGACAGGUGGGUGGAUGUACAAGUGGGUGGGUGGAUGGAUAGAUGGAUGGAUGGACAGGUGGGUGGAUGAACAGGUGUGUGAGUAGAUUUGAGUAGAUUAGUGGAUGGAUGGAUGGAUGGAUGUAAGGAUGGAUGAUAGAUGGAUGGAUGGACAGCUGGGUGGAUGAACAAGUGGGUGGGUGGAUGGAUAGAUGGAUGGAUGGACAGGUGGAUGGACCGACAGAUGAUGGAUGGGUGGCUAUUAGAGGAGAGGAAGGAAGGGAAAAGUGAAUGAAAAAACGGAUGCCUGGAAGGAUGAAUGGAAGGAUGGCACUGCCUCUUUAAGGGCAUUGCAACAAAUAUCAAAAGCUGCUGGAGUGGCCACCCUUGGGACCCUCAGUUCCACAUUUAGGAACUUGAAGAAACAACGGGAUGACUAUGAAAAGAUGUAAAAAUAUUGUAAUAAUAUUCACCGAAGCACUGCCAGCAACAGAGGCUUUAUUAAAUAAACGACACUGAAAAGAUGUGUGUGUGUAAUAAUAUUCACCGAAGCACUGUCAGCAACAGAGGCUUUAUUAAAUAAACGACAAUGAAAAGAUGUGUGUGUGUAAUAAUAUUCACCGAAGCACUGUCAGCAAUACAGGCUUUAUUAAAUAAAUCACAGUCCUUCUCAACAACCUAACACCGUGUGGUCAUUAAAAAUGGUGGUGUAGAUACAUGUAACAAGGAAUAAAGGUGUUCACAGUGUUGCCAGUGAAAAUAGGGUGUCGAUGAAACUGUACAAUUUAAAAACACAACCAUAAAGUAAAUAACCUAGAGGCUAUGCACCGUAAGGCUAAUAGCAACUGUGGGGUGGAGAGGGGGUGGGGUUGGGGUCAUUUUCAUGUGUUUUUUUCUUUUUCUUUUGUUUUUUUUUUUUUGAUUACUUGUACUGACGUGUAUUUUCUAAUUUUCUAUAAUUACAUUGUAAAUCUGUGUAAUUUUAAAAAUGAGGCCGUUCAUCAUUGGAGAAAACACGACACGUACGCUUAAGGGCAGACUUAAGGCUCUUAACAUUUUUAAAGCAACCAAAAGAGGCAAAAUGUAGACUUUAAAACACAAAAAUGUGCUUUUCUGAGUGUGGCACAGACUCCAAGCCCACAACGUCUGAGGAAGCGUACGGGAUCAGAACCAGCAGCUCCGUUCACAGCCAAACUCGCCUUCAAAAGGCAAGGAGAUGGCGCGCCAAGCUCAGCCCCUGAAAUCACACACGCGGGGUUGAACGUGAGUAACUCAGCCCAUCGUUCCGCACUGUGAAUCUGCUCCAAUACCUGCAGAGACAGGUCCAGCUCCCACUACGAGGGCCCACCGACCAACACGGUACACCGAGGGUGAAAAAGCCACGACCAGGCCCACCUGGAAAACACCAUCAGCUCCUAGAAAUGCCACUUCCUUCCUCCUCCCGCCGCUCCGGGCCUCCCGAGCCAAGACAAGCGCAGGUUGGGACUUGCACGGGAAAGCUCACCUGAGA
rnacentral:lncRNA from 1 species